CCUGACCCUAGAGUCACUUCAGUGUGGCAUCAGUGUCACAUGGGCAUCAGUAGGUGGCAGAGAGGACAAGGGCUAUGUCUAUGCUCUGACCUAUGAACAUCUGAAUGGUUAGUAAGUAGCCUAAUAUU